GAGUAGCAUUUCGUGCUGAUCCUGAAUGAUCCUGAGAUCCUGAGUCAUUUAAAGAUCCUGUCAACACCGUUAAUUUAAAGGCUGGCGUGGGAAGAGGAUUAUCUUAAUCUGAAAUGAUCAGCAUUCUGGAGCAAUAGAAAUCCUAAAUGAACAGUUGAAUUUGAAGCAUGCUGAUCAGGAUCCUGGCUGCGACUUGUUCAAGGUCCGAACAGUGUUUGUUUAAGGACAAUGGAAAAGCCAAGCAAAUUUAAAUUUGUCGACCAAUGAUCCUCUAACAAUGAAAAGACUAGGAAGAAAAGGUUUAAUGCAAAAGUAUGGUUCGGUCAACGUUCACUGUCAUUGUCAAUAGGGUCAAGGUUCAAGCAAAAUCCGCACUUGGAGAAAGCCUCGAUAUAAUCUUUUCUAAAAAUACUGUGCUUAGGGAGUUUUGAUCCCCUUCAUUGCACUUCGCUUAAGCUUCGUAUCGUUUGGCAUUUGCCUUAUAAGACUUUUUUUUUACAUUUGCUACAAGAAAAUGACACGUUUAUCCGGUCAUUGAAACGAAGACAACCAUACGACAGGACUCGAUUGCACAGCAAACUCGUCUCUACAAUUAAUAGGAAAUGCAUAACAGAUACAUAAUAGACUUACAUGGAACAUAAUUAUAAAAAAUGAAAUAAUGAGACAUCAAAACUCUUACUCUGAGUCUUGCGUCGGAACCGCGCAUAACUGCCUUGAUCUACACACAUACAAAAAAAAUCUGCUUCAAAAAUGUGAAACAAUACAACAAACUAGUGUACAUUUUUCAACAUGUAAGAGAUUUUGAAAACGGGAACAAACUUGCCAUGGAGAUUGCUCUUUUCCUGUGCCGAUUUUCAUCCUUGUCACCUCAUCAUCAUUAUCAGGCAACCCUUAAACAGAAAGGAGGGGAAAAAAUAUAUGAGAGAGAGAGAGAGAGAGAGAGAGAG